rnacentral:tRNA from 1 species
CCGGCGGUGGGUCCGCGGGGCCCUCGGCCCCGGCCCGGGGGGCCGGGGCGCCGGCAUCCUCGGCGGGCCGGUCCGGGACCGGUGCCGCCAGG